rnacentral:misc_RNA from 1 species
GGGUGGUAUAUGUUCAUGGCAGGGUGGAUUAGCACAAUGUAGUCCAUUUUAUGGAAAUGGCAUGAUUUUGUAUGCUUUUUCUCACCCAUGGAAUUCAUUUACGCAUUGGAACUGCAAAAACUUGCUUGUCGUUUUGUUGAAAUGAAUCAGAUUGCAAUUCCCUUAUUUUGAUGAAGUAGCGCCUUCCUCCCUCAUCUUAGGGUUCAUAUACCAUUGGGAAUGAUGUAGUUGCUUAACAUUUCAUCAGGCAUAUGCAAUUUUCUGUACAUAAUAAAGCCA